CAUCAUCAUUUGUCAAGGUGUCAGCUGGGGAGGUCUCCAGGAGCACUGCAGAUUGCUAGCACCUCCUGGGAACUCAGCAUCAUUUGUAGCCCCAGUGUUUCAGGGCACCUGGGAAUGGUGCUCCUCAGGUUAAUGGCAGAGCAGCCCUGUGCUGCUAGGAUGGAGCCUGGCCAUGCAGUGAGGAGGGCUCUGAGCAGGGACACGAGGAGAGGAGAGGAUCUGGGACUCCAUGGGGCUCUGGAGGUUGCUGAAAGGAGAGUGAAAUGAAGGUUUGAAGGAGCUACUGGAAGCCUGCAGUGUCGCUGGUGCAGCAUUUGGCAGGUUGAAAGCUACCUAUGGGCAAUCAGUGCUUCCAGCAGUGCUCUGGCAUCCGCGUGGUCCUCCUGGAGAUGCCUGACCUCCUGAGACUGCUCACGCUGAAUGCUUCUGAUUUCAUGGUUAAUUGGUUGGCCACAUCAUCGCAUCCUGUUAAUGCAUGUAAACCCGGUCAGCUUGGGUUUGAACUGUUACACUGAGCAUAAGCCUGUGUAAGGCCCUCCAGAUGAGUUGAAGAUUUCGUCUACCACAGGUUUCUUGCUGUGUUUUGAACUUGAAUGCUGCCUGAAUGGUUUUGUACUUGCACGUAAGUGCUGGUGGUGGAACUGCCUCUGAGGAUCCAGCUUCGUUCCCAUGAGGAGGGAAACGCUGUGCUUGGAAGGAAUAUUUAACUGGUAUGCUCUGCAGAGUGCAGAUUCACGGCGUAGCCUUAGGAGAAAGAAUAGAAAUAAUUCAAGUCACCGAAAAUAGGUUCUUUGGGGCUGUGGCCAUGGAAGUAAAGGGACUUCUAAGAAUAUGAUUAAACUUUUGUUUUAUAAUGAGGGACUACAUGUGGUAAGGUGAAGUGCUGGAGCUGCAGUUUGCAUCACUGGUACUCCAGGUUCUCAGCCCAGAAACCUUUCCAUAAAGCUGCAGAAGCCUGAGCUAAGCUCUCUAUCUGACGUAUUGCUGUAGAAGGAAAUGUUAAAUAAUGAAUUAACAUCUGAUUUUGACUGUCCCCAGCCACGUGACAUGCAUAUGGGGCCGUGUUAUUAAUUGCUUGAUGUAGCUGCAGAAGAGUCAUUGGCUUAGCUCACAGGUUGCUGGCAGGGUGUGCAGCACUGUUUCGAAGUGUCUGAUGGUGUCACUUAAGAUGCUCACUGUGUGCCACAGCUAUGAUGAAUCCAAGGGCUGACAAUCAGAAGGAUAGUUUUGAAACUUGCAAUUUUUUGGCCAGUUCUGUUUUUGUCUUCAGCCUGUUUAAGAAAUAGAAGUAUAAAUCUUAUUUUUGGAGUGGCAAUUUUCUUUGCUUAUGGUGAUUUCAGCUCCUUCAGAGAAGAGCCAUGUGCUUUUGAUUUCCAGUGAGUGAAUUCAUUUUGUGCUUUUUUUCCUUCCCCUUUUGGAUUUGCUCAUUCCUGCGUGCCCUGUUCAUGUACCCAAAUAUGUUGUUCUUUAUCCUGGCUUGCUUUUGGCAAACGUUUCUGUUCAUUGCAUAAAUAACCAGAGAUAUGGAAACGUAACCAAUUCCUGUGUGAGAGACGUUGCUGCCCUGCCUAGAGGAGAUAAUAAGGAUUGACAGGGGCACUGACAUUUGGGAUAAUUUGUCUCCAGGAGCUUUAGUCCAUGUGAGCUCAACCAGUAUCGAACCCAGUAUUCUUGACUUUAUAAAGAGAUUGGGAGAGGGAGAUGCUGAUGUGAGGAAGUUCUUGGUUUGCAGCUGCCAGCCCUUCUCUUUCACGCUGACUUAAACUACUGAGGAUGGUGAUUAUGGGACCUCCAGAUCUCCUGGCAUUUGGCAGGUGGGCUGUGUCAUCAACACCGAGGGCUUUCAGAACAGGUGCAGGAAGAGCUGAGCUGCAGAGGGCUGCUUAGGAGACAUCUCGAAGAGUUUGACUUCUCUGGCUUGGAAUUUGCAAUGCAUUCUCUUAUGCCUUUCUUGUCCUGUCAUUGUAUCUUUAGAAACAGAGCUGUUGACUUCAGCAGAUGCCACCCCAGCCCAAACGUCAUUUCUUAAAAACUCACUUUUGUACAUAUGUAUGAACCUGUAGCUCUUUUCCCCAUUCUUUGUCAUCUCAACAUCAGUUUUUAACAUUUAAAGGUAAAUACAUCUUUAACACAAGCUUCCAUCAGAGUAGGGAUUUUACUCCUGCAGUUCAUACCUGUUAUUAAAUCUUGAACUUUGUUUUCCUCUUAAUUUCUUUACUUUCUCCACAUCUUUUAAAAGCAGGUGACAGCUCAAAUCAAAAUAUAUUUUGGUGUAUCGACUACCUUGACCAUCCUUCUAGUUAGAUGAUGAAAUUCUCAGUCUUUUAAGCCCCAAAAGAUUAUUCUGUAGAGCCCUCAGAAUUCUUUUUGUUCAUGUUUUUAGCUAUUUACAGAACCUCUAAAAGUCUGGUUGAAGAAAAUAUCCAUUAUAUUUUAAAUAAUAAAGUCAGAUGUCAGUUUUGAAUGCUUUAGAAGGAAAAGGAGAUCCAGUCCUAAUGUACUUAAAACAUUAGAGAGAUGUGUUUUCCAAUGUAAAUAAAACCCAGGUGAUCAAAUAUAUCUGGAGACUGACUGCCUUACAAGACAUGUAGGAAGAUUCUAGUUUAUUUGGUAAAAUUCUGCUUCUCUGAGGUAAAUUUUACUGUUAUGUCCCUUAGUUCCAGAAGUCGUGUUAAUGCGCACUGAAUAAAUUAUGUUCAUCAGUAGUUUGCUCCAUCACAUUCUUGACUUAAAUUAUAAAUCUCUCUCUCUCAACAUUUUUUUUUAAUCCAUUUUUGAACGCAUUAUUUUGCAAGUCAGCCAACAUAGAUGUGUUUUGUUAAACAUCCUGUGGAGCACUGUGCCCCAUGACAACCAAGUCAGGAAGCUGGAGCAGAUGAUGCUGUCGCUGGGAGAGGUGGAAUGCCCCAACCCUGCUCACGAGCAGUAAGGGCUCAAUGUGACAAGUCCUCUCAUUUGAUACCUGGUCUUAAACAUCAGUUGCUAUGGCAGAAUACUUAAAACAUAACUGAGCUUUCCUGAAGGGGAAAAUAAAAUAAAAUAUCAUAUAUGCUGAUUGUGCAGUUCAGGAAUUGAGAAACUCACUGAGCGCUGGUGAAAGCCAAAAUAAUGAAUUGUGCAGUAAUUCUACUUGCUUACUCCAAGAACAGGUGUUCUGUAACUGAUAUGAAGGCAUGAAAAUUUCUUCUUAUUUGGGUUCUAUUCUUAAAAGAUUUUCCCAAAAUUAAAAAAAAAAGUAACUUAUCAAUUUAUUUAUUUUUACAAAUAAUCUCUGUUUACCCUCCUAGUUCCAAUUAUCGCAUUAAUAAAUGGCAUUUGUACUGAUUAUUUUCUGUAUGGGAAGAAUCUUGAGAAUUUAGUCUUUGGUAUUACUUUGUGCAUUUGGGAGUGGUUCUGUUUUUCUCCCAGGAAGCAUUAAAACGUAAGGUCUGUAUCAGCAUAGUUGUUUUCCCCCAGUUAUUCAAUGCAUAGUUCAUUAUAGUACCUACAGUUCCUUUCAAGCCUUGAAUAAAUGAUACAGACCUGUAGGUGUUCUGGUCCAAGUCAAAACUCCUGGCCAGUCUGAAAGGAGGCAGAUCGUGUUGGCUCCAACGCACCAUGAGGAGCCCAUGGUGUAACAAACCAAGUAUACAGACAAUGCUUGAAUAUCCAUCUCAUGCUUAAAUUGAGUGAACGCAGUGGGAAAAGGCAGCAAACCCAAGCUUUAUCUCCAGAUUGGAGGAGGCAUUUACAGGAGUCACAAAACUGAAUUACUGAUUUGACUUAAUUGUGCUUACAGCCAGAAAUAACAGUGACGUGCUUUUGAUGCAGUGCUGUAAGGUGGUUAUUUUUAACGUUGCGUCUUUCAGAACUCCCAAACAGAACCAGUUCAGCAUCAAAGCUGAUUUUGUGAGUGUGGAUUCUCUAAGCAGCUGCUGUAUGCCAAAACCAAGCGGGGUCUGUCACUAGAUUGUAGUGAUCAUAUGAUACCACCAUGGAGGACGUGACUCAUACCAUGACCUGUAUUUUGGGAUUUGCAUCAUCAGCUCACUCUGAUAUUCAGACCUUCCACGUGAACUUGUAAAUAAGUUAACUAUCUCUUGUUCAGACCCCUUAUCUGUCACAGAUACAGAUUUUGUGUUUGUAUCAGCCUAUUUAAUUUGCUGUCAUGGUAGUUAUUUCCUUAGUACCUCCUUGGAGCACACCUCCAUUACU